CUCUCCAACGUCCAGCGCAUGUAGCAGCCCAGUGCCAGUAGCUUUGCCUGAAAGGCAAAGUAUAUUAAUUCUAGGACCAAAUGGAACUCUUGAGGGUACUCCAUUAGAGAUCAGACCAAGUGUACAGCCCACUAUACAACAGAUCACACCUGUGCAACCACCUACGAUACCGGCCACACCUGUGCAGCCUCCACAGCCUCCACAGGCGUUGCAAGAUUAUAAUAGGGAAGGAUACUUCGAACCAAAGUUGGUGAGGAACAAGCAAAUUCAACCGCGUUGCUGGGAAUUGUUGCUUUGCUCCGGCAAAUGCACACUAUCGCAGUACCGAAAAAAAAAAGUGUGGAGGCUGUCAAGGCACGAGGCAAGCACUGGUUUCCUGGCGCGCGUUGCAGCAGCGUCAGAGAUUGCCACAUAUUGCCCUCAACAAGAGGCAUUCAACCUCUCAAAAGGCAUAGAAUCAACCACACAUACUUGCGGUCGGACCUUCAUGGGCUAAUAUACACACGUAUGAAAUUGUUACCACUGCUGGAGGGCUAAGAUACCAAGUAUUGUGAGACUAUAAAGGUGACGUAUAAUUUAUACUGGGCAUUGGACUUAGCGUACCCUAAGGUAGCUGCACCUUGUUGGAUGUUUAUCCAACGGGCCAUAUUUCAGAUGAAAUCUAAGUUUGACUCUGAAGGAGUUCCAUUAAGAGAACUACUUUCGCUAUUAAAUUCGCUUGAUCAAACUUUUAAACGCCUUUUGAUAAGUGUCUCGCGCCAUUAAACUAAUUUACUAAUAAACCUUAUUUGAUAAUACCUAGCUUGAUACAGUUGCGUUGACAUUAACACGGCGUUCUUGACGUCCAAGGGGAUAAAGCAGCUACACUUU